rnacentral:ncRNA from 1 species
CAAAAUUCUAUGACGAGAAGAGUAAGUUAGGAACUUGUUCCACAGAGAGUUGGCGUAGUGCUGAAAGUCAAUGUUCAAGUCCUUUCCGAAGAUCAUCUCUGAGAUGCAGAGCCGAAACAACAGUAAGCUCUGACGGAAUUUCCUCCGUUAUAAAGGAACACGUAUGAUUGUACGUUGACUGAGCGCCAUUACUUUUUGUAAUGGAACUAGGGUGGUAACGCGAGCUAACUCGUCCCUUAU